rnacentral:rRNA from 1 species
CCUACGGGGGGCAGCAGUGGGGAAUAUUGCACAAUGGGGGGAACCCUGAUGCAGCGACGCCGCGUGAGUGAAGAAGUAUUUCGGUAUGUAAAGCUCUAUCAGCAGGAACGAGACAAGACGGUACCUGACUAAGAAGCCCCGGCUAACUACGUGCCAGCAGCCGCGGUAAUACGUAGGGGGCAAGCGUUAUCCGGAAUCACUGGGGGUAAAGGGAGCGUAGACGGCUGAGCAAGCCUGAAGUGAAAGGCGGGGGCUCAACCCCCGGACUGCUUUGGGAACUGUACGGCUGGAGUGCAGGAGAGGUAGGUGGAAUUCCUGGUGUAGCGGUGAAAUGCGUAGAUAUCAGGAGGAACACCAGUGGCGAAGGCGGCCUGCUGGACUGCAACUGACGUUGAGGCCCGAAAGCGUGGGGAGCAAACAGGAUUAGAUACCCGAGUAGUC